rnacentral:rRNA from 1 species
CAGGCCUAACACAUGCAAGUCGAGCGGCAGCGGAAAGUAGCUUGCUACUUUGCCGGCGAGCGGCGGACGGGUGAGUAAUGUCUGGGAAACUGCCUGAUGGAGGGGGAUAACUUACUGGAAACGGUAGCUAAUACCGCAUAACGUCGCAUGACCAAUGAGGGGGACCUUCGGGCCUCUUGCCAUCAAAUGUGCCCUGAUGGGAUUAGCUAGUAGGUGGGGUAACGGCUCACCUAGGCCGACGAUACCUAGCUGGUCUGAGAGGAUGACCAACCACCCUGGAACUGAUGCACGGUUCAGACUCCCUACGGGNAGGCAGCAGUGCGUUACUAAUUGCACAAUGGGGCGCAAGCCUGAUGCUGCCCUUGCCGCGUGUAUGAAGAAGGCCUUCCGGGUUUGUAAAGUACCUUCCAGCGGGGAGGAAAGCGUUUAAGGUUAUAACCUCAUCGAAUGGACGUUCCCCCCCUAAACGCCCCGGCU